CACGUAGGGGGCAAGCGUUGUCCGGAUUUACUGGGCGUAAAACGCUUGUAGGCGGCCACGCCAAGUCGGACGUGAAAUCUCCCGGCUUAACUGGGAGGGGUCGUUCGAUACUGGCGGGCUCGAGGCAGGUAGGGGGAAGCGGAAUUCCCGGUGUAGUGGUGGAAUGCGUAGAUAUCGGGAGGAACACCAGUGGCGAAGGCGGCUUCCUGGACCUGUUCUGACGCUGAGGAGCGAAAGCGUGGGGAGCGAGCCGG
rnacentral:rRNA from 1 species